UUUAUAUGACACCGUUGACUUUUAGGUCCACAUUUGACCUUUCGUCUUAUUUAAAAUAUUGUAUAAUUAUUAAUUAUUUUGUUAUAAUAUGAUUUAUUAUUAUAGGAACUUUAAGUAUGUUUUAUAAUUUUGCAUAUUUAGAUAUAUAUUUUAAAUAAGACGAACGGUUAAACGUAGAUUCAAAAGUUAAUGGCGUGAUAUAAA
rfam:Oryza brachyantha chromosome 12, whole genome shotgun sequence.